AUUGAACGCUGGCGGCAGGCCUAACACAUGCAAGUCGAACGGUAACAGGAAGCAGCUUGCUGCUUUGCUGACGAGUGGCGGACGGGUGAGUAAUGUCUGGGAAACUGCCUGAUGGAGGGGGAUAACUACUGGAAACGGUAGCUAAUACCGCAUAACGUCGCAAGACCAAAGAGGGGGACCUUCGGGCCUCUUGCCAUCGGAUGUGCCCAGAUGGGAUUAGCUUGUUGGUGGGGUAACGGCUCACCAAGGCGACGAUCCCUAGCUGGUCUGAGAGGAUGACCGGCCACACUGGAACUGAGACACGGUCCAGACUCCUACGGGAGGCAGCAGUGGGGAAUAUUGCACAAUGGGCGCAAGCCUGAUGCAGCCAUGCCGCGUGUAUGAAGAAGGCCUUCGGGUUGUAAAGUACUUUCAGCGGGGAGGAAGGGAGUAAAGUUAAUACCUUUACUCAUUGACGUUACCCGCAGAAGAAGCACCGGCUAACUCCGUG
rnacentral:rRNA from 1 species